UACGGGGGGGGCAAGCGUUGUUCGGAAUUACUGGGCGUAAAGGGCUCGUAGGUGGCCAACUAAGUCAGACGUGAAAUCCCUCAGCUUAACCGGGGAACUGCGUCCGAUACUGGAUGGCUUGAGUUCGGGAGAGGGAUGCGGAAUUCCAGGUGUAGCGGUGAAAUGCGUAGAUAUCUGGAGGAACACCGGUGGCGAAGGCGGCAUCCUGGACCGACACUGACGCUGAGGAGCGAAAGCCAGGGGAGCAAACGGG
rnacentral:rRNA from 1 species